UACGGAGGAUGCGAGCGUUAUCCGGAUUUAUUGGGUUUAAAGGGUGCGUAGGUGGCCGUUUAAGUCAGUGGUGAAAGUUUGUGGCUCAACCAUAAAAUUGCCAUUGAAACUGGACGGCUUGAGUGUAUUUGAGGUAGGCGGAAUGCGUGGUGUAGCGGUGAAAUGCAUAGAUAUCACGCAGAACUCCGAUUGCGAAGGCAGCUUACUAAACUAUAACUGACACUGAAGCACGAAAGCGUGGGGAUCAAACAGGAUUAGAUACCCUGGUAGUCCACGCAGUAAACGAUGAUUACUAGGAAUUUGCGAUAUACAGUAAGUUCUACAGCGAAAGCGUUAAGUAAUCCACCUGGGGAGUACGCCGGCAACGGUGAA
rnacentral:rRNA from 1 species